rnacentral:rRNA from 1 species
UACGAAGGGGACUAGCGUUGUUCGGAAUCACUGGGCGUAAAGGGCGUGUAGGCGGGACGGUAAGUCGGGCGUGAAAUCCCUAGGCUCAACCUAGGAACUGCACUCGAAACUACCAUUCUUGAGUGUCGGAGAGGAAAGCGGAAUUCCUGGUGUAGAGGUGAAAUUCGUAGAUAAUCAGGAGGAACACCAGUGGCGAAGGCGCUUCGUGGACGAUAACUGACGCUGAGACGCGAAAGCGUGGGGAGCAAACAGG